rnacentral:rRNA from 1 species
UUUCUCGAACGCUGGCGGGAUGCUUUACACAUGCAAGUCGAACGGCAGUACUUGACUUCGGUCUGGUGGCGAGUGGCGAACGGGUGAGCAAUGCAUCGGAACGUGCCUAGUAGCGGGGAUAACUACGCGAAAGCGUAGCUAAUACCGCACAUACCGGGGGAAAGCGGGGACCUUUCGGGCCUCGCACUAUUAGAGCGGCCGAUAUCGGAUUAGCUAGUUGGUGGGGUAACGGCUCACCAAGGCGACGAUCCGCGGUAGCUGGUUUGAGAGGACGACCAGCCACACUGGGACUGAGACAUUUUACGAGACUCCUACGGGAGGCAGCAGUGGGGAAUUUUGGACAUUGGGGGAAACCUGAUCCGCGCCAUCCUGGGCGUGUGCGAUGAAGGCCUUCGGGUUUUCGUAAAGCACUUUUGGCAGGAAAGAAACGGCACGGGAUAAUACCCCGUGCAACUGACGGUACCUGCAGAAUAAGCACCGGCUAACUACGUGCCAGCAGCCGCGGUAAUACGGGUAAAAAGCGUUAAUCGGAAUUACUGGGCGUAAGCGUGCGCAGGCGGUUCAAGAAAGAUGUGAAAUCCUGAGCUUAACUUCUAACCGCAUUUUAACUACCGAGCUAGAGUGUGUGUCAGAGGAGGUGGAAUUCGGCGUGUAGCAGUGAAAUGCGUAGAUAUGCGAGGAACACCGAUGGCGAAGGCAGCCUCCGGGAUAACGACGCUCAUGCACGAAAGCGUGGAGCAACAGUAUUCAGAUACCCUGUAGUCCACGCCUCGGAACGAUGUCAAUCUAGCUGUUGGGGCCUUCGGGCCUUGAAGCAGCUAACGCGUGAAGUUGACCGCCUGGGGAGUAUGGUCGCAGAUUAAACUCAAAGGAAUUGACGGGGACCCGCACAAGCGGUGGAUGAUGUGGAUUACUCCGAUGCAACGCGAAAAACCUUACCUACCCUUGACAUGUCUGGAAUCCCGAAGAGAUUUGGGAGUGCUCGCAAGAGAACCGGAACACAGGUGCUGCAUGGUCGUCAGCUCGUGUCGCUGGGUUAAGUCCCGCAACGAGCGCAACCCUUGUCAUUAUUGCUACGAAAGGGCACUCUAAUGACUGCCGGUGACAAACCGGAGGAAGUGAUGACGUCGGUCCUCAUGGCCCUUACAGGCUUCACACGUCAUACAAUGGUCGGGACAGAGGGUCGCCAACCGCGAGGGGGAGCCAAUCCCAGAAACCCGAUCGUAGUCCGGAUCGCAGUCUGGGUGCAACUCGACUGGCAGGAAGUCGGAAUCGCUAGUAAUCGCGGAUCAGCAUGUCGCGGUGAAUACGUUCCCGGUCUUGUACACACCGCCCGUCACACCAUGGGAGUGGGUUUUACCAGAAGUAGUUAGCUCAAUCCGGUAAGGAGGGCGAUUACCAUUGCAGGAUUCAUGACUGGGUGAAGUCGUAACAAGGUAG